UACGGAGGGGGCUAGCGUUGUUCGGAAUUACUGGGCGUAAAGCGCGCGUAGGCGGAUCUGCAAGUCGGGGGUGAAAUCCCGAGGCUCAACCUCGGAACUGCCUUCGAUACUGCGGGUCUCGAGUGCGGCAGAGGGGGAUGGAUUCCGCGUGUAGCAGUGAAAUGCGUAGAUAUGCGGAGGAACACCGAUGGCGAAGGCAAUCCCCUGGGCCUGCACUGACGCUCAUGCACGAAAGCGUGGGGAGCAAACAGG
rnacentral:rRNA from 1 species